UACGUAGGGUGCGAGCGUUAAUCGGAAUUACUGGGCGUAAAGCGUGCGCAGGCGGUUUUGUAAGCCCGAUGUGAAAGCCCCGGGCUUAACCUGGGAAUGGCAUUUGGGACUGCAAGGCUGGAGUGUGGCAGAGGAGACUGGAAUUCCUGGUGUAGCAGUGAAAUGCGUAGAUAUCUGGAGGAACACCGGUGGCGAAGGCGGCGUCCUGGACCAACACUGACACUGAAAAGCGAAAGCCAGGGGAGCAAACGGG
rnacentral:rRNA from 1 species